rnacentral:rRNA from 1 species
UACGGAGGAUGCAAGCGUUAUCCGGAUUUAUUGGGUUUAAAGGGUGCGCAGGUUGUUUGAUAAGUUAGUGGUGAAAGUCUGUCGCUUAACGGUAGGAUUGCCAUUGAUACUGUUAGACUUGAAUAUGGAUGAGGUAGGCGGAAUGUGUAGUGUAGCGGUGAAAUGCAUAGAUAUUACACAGAACACCGAUUGCGGAGGCAGCUUACUAAUCCAUCAUUGACGCUGAGGCACGAAAGCGUGGGGAUCAAACAGGA